rnacentral:lncRNA from 11 species
UUGUUGUUGUUGUUGUUGUUGUUGUUGUUAUUAUUGCUCGGUGGCCAACUAUAGUCCGGCCCUCCAACGGUCCGAAGGAUCGUGAACUGGCCCCCUGUUUAAAAAGUUUGGGGACCCCUGGUAUAGAUGUUUGAAGUGGAAUGAUGUCCAUGAAAUCUUGGCAUGGCAAUUGAACUCUGAAUCCAGGGUGCUUAAAACAUUGUUUGACAAUGCAGGUUCAUCCUAACUAUUUAUUUUUAUUUAACUUCUGUGGAUAAGUUAGCACGCUUUUAAUUUAAAUAGUAUGUUUCUGCAGAAUUCAUCCUCUCAUUUGAGGAAGGAAAAGAGGAUUUAACAACAGUAUUGCAUGUUCUGGGCUUUUGACAUCAGGUUGUCCGUUUCUCACUUCUCUGUAACGGAAAAGGUUGUGUAACAGGUGGAAAUUCUGCACUUUGUUUUGUUCGCUGCCUUCCACAAAAAGCAUAUACGAGAGUUGGGUUUGGGUCUGCCCGGCUGGAUUAGUUAGCGUUGAGUUCAUGAUCCUGGUUUGCUUAGGAUCCUAGUUUGUUUGGAUCCUUACUUUGGAUAAUAGGAGAAGUGCUCCUCGUCUCAAAGGAGGCCGUUUUCCCAAGAUGGAGAUAAAUCCCGACGCUUUCGGCCCUGCCGGGGAUGUCCUCAGCGCAGAAUCCGCCUGCUACCAAUGUUCCACUUGCUGUGCGGACGAGGAUCGCACUUGCGCCAACUCCAUGCGGAGCCGCUCCAAGACGCGCAGUUUAUCCGCUUCUCCGGCCCUGGGCAGCGCCAGAGAAUUCAGGAGGACGCGCUCCUUGCAUGGACCAAGCCCAGUGACCACGUUUGGACCAAAGGCCUGCAUGCUGCAGAAUCCCAAAACUAUCAUGUAAGUAGGAAAGCGCCCAACCCGAUCAAUCCAAUUGUUUAUUUAACAAAGCCUUUCUAAUCAACCUCUUUGAUUGAACUUAAUUCAUAUUUUUCCCUUGCCCAUUUAUGGAAAUGCUCCAAGUGCUGAAGUUGUGUACUUACUCAUUUCAGUUGUUAGUUUUUGAAACAAAAACAUUCAUCCCUUGCAAAAGAUUGUGCUCUGUCUUCUUCUGCAUUCUUCAGAGUUCGCUAUAUGCAUGCAUGGUUUUCACAAGUUGGUUCCUUUUUCGUUUAGCAAUUGAUAUUGUCACAAGUGGUUGCAAACCGUACUGAUGUAAGUUUGUAAACUACAGAGAGUUUUGGCAUAAACUAUUCUAUGGCUAUACUUUAACUAUGAAUAUAAAGACAGUUCCAUCUUGUCUUCUUUGCACCAGCUGAAGGCCUCUCUCACUAGUAACAUG